rnacentral:rRNA from 1 species
AGAGUUUGAUCCUGGCUCAGAGCGAACGCUGGCGGCAGGCUUAACACAUGCAAGUCGAGCGCCCGUAGCAAUACGGGAGCGGCAGACGGGAGAGUAACACGUGGGAACGUACCCUUCGGUUCGGAAUAACCCAGGGAAACUUGGGCUAAUACCGGAUACGUCCGUAAGGAGAAAGAUUUAUCGCCGGAGGAUCGGCCCGCGUCCGAUUAGCUAGUUGGUGAGGUAAUGGCCCACCAAGGCGACGAUCGGUAGCUGGUCUGAGAGGAUGAUCAGCCUCACUGGGACUGAGACACGGCCCAGACUCCUACGGGAGGCAGCAGUGGGGAAUAUUGGACAAUGGGCGCAAGCCUGAUCCAGCCAUGCCGCGUGGGUGAUGAAGGCCUUAGGGUUGUAAAGCCCUUUCGGCGGGGAAGAUAAUGACGGUACCCGCAGAAGAAGCCCCGGCUAACUUCGUGCCAGCAGCCGCGGUAAUACGAAGGGGGCUAGCGUUGCUCGGAAUCACUGGGCGUAAAGCGCACGUAGGCGGGUUCUUAAGUCAGGGGUGAAAUCCUGGAGCUCAACUCCAGAACUGCCUUUGAUACUGAGGAUCUCGAG